rnacentral:rRNA from 1 species
CUUGGUCAUUUAGAGGAAGUAAAAGUCGUAACAAGGUUUCCGUAGGUGAACCUGCGGAAGGAUCAUUAUCGAUUCUUUGAGGAUGUGCUGGCUUCUUGUUUGAGAAGCAAUUGUGCACUCUGAAAACCACUUCAUUCACCUGUGCACCCCAUUGUAGACAGGGAGAAAUCCUUUGUCUAUGAUUUUUUAAUUCACACAUUUUAUUGAUAUCAUGAAUAAAUAUAAACAAUACAACUUUCAACAAUGGAUCUCUUGGUUCUCGCAUCGAUGAAGAACGCAGCGAAUUGCGAUAUGUAAUGUGAAUUGCAGAAUUCAGUGAAUCAUCGAAUCUUUGAACGCACAUUGCACCCUCUGGUAAUCCAGAGGGUAUGCCUGUUUGAGUGUCAUUAGAAAUAUCAAAUCCAGAUUUUGCUCUGUGAUUUGGACUUUGAAGGCUUUGCUGACUGUUAAAGUCAGCUCCUUUUAAAUGCAUUAGCAGGUUGCAAACAACUGGCCCCAGUUUGAUAGACUUUAAUCAUCUGUGCUGUCGCUAGUAGUUUUGACCGCUGCAAAUUGUCUUUGGACUUGCCGUCAGGCAAUACAUUUUAAGUCUUGACCUCAAAUCAGGUAGGAUUACCCGCUGAACUUAAGCAUAUCAAUAAGCGGAGGA